AGUUAGGAUGUUGAUAUCACGGAUACGAGCUGAGUUAGCUGGACGGCUGCUUUGCGAUGCACGGAUGACGCCAACAGGGCGGUUCAAUCCCCAUACGGGUUGAGAUUAUCAAGAAGGUCCUGCCUUCUCAACCUCGCCUCAGGCGGUUUGACCUGUAAGGUAAAACAACACCAGUUGUAUAUUUGUAACUAGAAAGCAGCCCAUUAUCUGCGCCACUGCCAAGAUCAUUUCCACUUCCAUAACAUUGUUUGAAACAGCUAGUGUUGUAUCUGAGAUAACAAGGUGUAGAGCUGGAUGAACAUAGCAGGCCGAGGAUCAGGAAGGCUUUCGGGCCUAGACCCUUCUUCAGAAAAUCUCACCUGUUACUGCUGAUUUAAACGGCCACUAACCCAAUUACCCCCUUUCCUGUCCUGAGAAAAUAGGGAUCGUCAUGUACUAGGACAGAAUCAAGAUCAUCCGGCAGUUCUGUUAUUUUCACCAGAUCUCUGCUAAGGCAAAAAUCCGAACCUAAUUAUUUUGACUUAUCUAAAUUGUAAUAUGAAUCAGUAUUUUAAAAUCAGAAAUUUGAUAGAUUUUCAUUGCAGACACUGUUGAAAGAAAAUGGAGCCAAAUUGAACCAAGAAAGAGUUGAUAAACAAGAGGUAGACCAGAUAUGAGAACUUGCUGUUGGUUAGGGGCUGAACAGACCUAAGAAUGGGAACUUGAACUUGAUGGUGAAUCUGUCAAGCCAAUGGAAGAGAAGAACAAUUUACUGUCGUUUGUACUUAUGAAAGUACAGUGAGAUGUUUAUAAGUCGCCACAAUUUGGUGCCAUUUUAUUUACAAAAAUUAUAAAAAGAAAUAAUUGAGACAAAGUUUAUCUUUUGCUCCUGGAUUUCUGAAGUGGCUAUAGGACACCAUUGCCAAAGCCACCCCUGAGGUUGCCAAAGCAAGGAUUUCCAGACCGAUUCCAAUGCUGCCACUACCGAAGCCUGUGCUGAGGCCACUGCAUCGCUGCCAUAGCAAGGAGGGACAGACUGGACCCACUAAGUUGCCAACACAGAAACCGUCGCUCAAGCCAUCGCCACUUCAGUCAUUGCCCAAAACCACCACAUUGCCGCCAUAGUCAAAAGGAAUGAACUGGAACCACCAUGCCACCAGCACUAUAGCCACUGCCACCAGGAUUAAUGGACCAGACCCACCAACAAUGUUGCCUUUGAUAAAGCCAUGGCCACAAGGAACGGUCAUCCGGAUUCACCAUGCUGCAGUUGCAGCAGCAGGCUCUCACUACUGCCGUCUUUCACCACAUCCACAGUAAAGAAGUGAACUUUGAUAAAAAAGAGAAAUGAAGAAACAAAAAAAGAAUACAGCCGGCCAGGUCAUGGCUUUAGAACAUCACCGUACUUGGAAAGAAGUAGCAUCCC